UACAGAGGUCCCAAGCGUUGUUCGGAUUCACUGGGCGUAAAGGGUGCGUAGGCGGCGAGGUAAGUCGGAUGUGAAAUCUCGGAGCUCAACUCCGAAAUGGCAUUGGAAACUACCUUGCUCGAGGGUUGGAGGGGGGACUGGAAUACUUGGUGUAGCAGUGAAAUGCGUAGAUAUCAAGUGGAACACCAGUGGCGAAGGCGAGUCCCUGGACAACUCCUGACACUGAGGCACGAAAGCUAGGGGAGCAAACAGG
rnacentral:rRNA from 1 species